UAGGUAAGUAUGGGGAAUCCACAAAGCAAAUCUGCGGAACAUACAACAGCGUCAGGUGUACCUAGAGAUGGGCUGACACUUGAACCGUCUGGACAACCGGUUCUUCCGGAUAAUGAACUUGUGGGUACUGAAGGUGUAGGAUAUCAGAUGGCUGGGACAAACGUUGUUGAUAAUCACCCUAUUAGUCCAGGAAUGAGGUUGUGCGGAUAGAGUACUCAUCAUUUUAUUCUCUUAAGUUCGUGACUUCAAUCUCAGUUACUUGUAUGAACCAUGCUCCAGGCCACUCGAUACCUGAACAGACCGCAGACCCGGUUGUUCCCCAACCCACUGAUGGUGAUAUCACAUGUGUUCAGUGGCCUCCCGAUCUGAACUCAGGUGAGCAAAAAACAUAUUGAAAAGGAGACCCGGCAAUCUCGGUUAUUUAUCAUGCUUAUAGAGGUUGUGUUGCAGACAUUCAAGAACAGUCUAAGAACAAUAACAUUUAGCUUUUGUUUUGUUCCAGAUGUUCUUGAUGUGUCUCCUAUUGAUGGAGGAAUACACCUAUACACUAUGUCAACUGCUCAAGAUUUAUCCCAAACCGCUCAACAUCCGAGCACAUGACUACAGGAUCUUUCGAGAAUGUCACCAAACAAACUAAAAAAGGUAUCUUAUCUGAUGAAAAAAGGGAGCAGAUAAACGCCAAGAGGCGAGCUAAUUAUCGGCGGAAGAAAGAGGAGGAAGCAAAGAAACUUGAGCAUGAAAGUCAAGCUUACCUUUCAACAUCUGAUCAGUCCAUCACUGAACAGACCGCAGUUGUUGUUGUUCCUCAACCCACUGAUGGUGAUGUCACAUGUGUACCGCGGCCUUCCGAACUGAACUUAG